rnacentral:ribozyme from 1 species
UGUCUAGUAACUCCUAUCCUUGCCUCCCCGUGGUGCCGCUUGAGGUACGAGAAACCGUAGGGAAGAUCAGGUAACCAACCCCGGUGAGACCUUGGUCGUAUGCUGAUAGGGUAGG